GGCGGGGUAGCUCAGGCGGUUAGAGCGCACGACUCAUAAUCGUGAGGUCGCGGGUUCGAUCCCCGCCCCCGCUACCG
rnacentral:tRNA from 1 species